rnacentral:rRNA from 1 species
AACGAACGCUGGCGGCAGGCCUAACACAUGCAAGUCGAGCGAACCCUUCGGGGUUAGCGGCGGACGGGUUAGUAACGCGUGGGAAUAUGCCCAAAGGUACGGAAUAGCCUCGGGAAACUGAGAGUAAUACCGUAUGUGCCCUUCGGGGGAAAGAUUUAUCGCCUUUGGAUUAGCCCGCGUUGGAUUAGGUAGUUGGUGGGGUAAUGGCCUACCAAGCCGACGAUCCAUAGCUGGUUUGAGAGGAUGAUCAGCAACACUGGGACUGAGACACGGCCCAGACUCCUACGGGAGGCAGCAGUGGGGAAUCUUAGACAAUGGGGGAAACCCUGAUCUAGCCAUGCCGCGUGGACGAUGAAGGCCUUAGGAUUGUAAAGUCCUUUCAGCUGGGAAGAUAAUGACGGUACCAGCAGAAGAAGCCCCGGCUAACUCCGUGCCAGCAGCCGCGGUAAAGUCUGUACU